AAAAAGUUAGUUAAAUAAUAACAUUAAUAUGUCAUGUUAAAAUUACUGGUUUAACCCAAUACUUUUUG
rnacentral:tRNA from 1 species